rnacentral:rRNA from 1 species
AUUGAACGCUGGCGGCAGGCCUAACACAUGCAAGUCGAGCGCGAAAGUUCUUCGGAAUGAGUAAAGCGACGGACGGGUGAGUAAUACAUGGGAAUCUGCCUGGUAGUUGGGGACAACGUUUCGAAAGGAACGCUAAUACCGCAUACGCCCUACGGGGGAAAGGGGGGGAUCGCAAGACCUCUCGCUAUCAGAUGAGCCCA